rnacentral:tRNA from 1 species
AGUAAGAUGGUCGAGUGUUGAGUCGUUAGGUUGUAAACCUUUUUACAGAGGUUUAAUUCCUCUUCUUACUA